rnacentral:rRNA from 1 species
CAGCAGCCACGGUAAUACAGAGGGUGCGAGCGUUAAUCGGAUUUACUGGGCGUAAAGCGUGCGUAGGCGGCUUCUUAAGUCGGAUGUGAAAUCCCUGAGCUUAACUUAGGAAUUGCAUUCGAUACUGGUUAGCUAGAGUGUGGGAGAGGAUGGUAGAAUUCCAGGUGUAGCGGUGAAAUGCGUAGAGAUCUGGAGGAAUACCGAUGGCGAAGGCAGCCAUCUGGCCUAACACUGACGCUGAGGUACGAAAGCAUGGGGAGCAAACAGGAUUAGAUACCCCGGUAGUCCCUGUCUCUUAUAC